rnacentral:rRNA from 1 species
UUUAAAGUCUAAUCUGCCCUAUGAGGGAUUAAAUGGCCGCGGUAUUUUGACCGUGCAAAGGUAGCAUAAUAAUUAGUUUUUUAAUUGAAAGCUGGUAUGAAUGAUUGAACGAGAAAGUAACUGUCUCAAUUUAAUUUUAUUAGAAUUUUAUUUUUAAGUAAAAAAGCUUAAAUUUUAUUAAAAGACGAGAAGACCCUAUAGAGUUUUAUAAUUAAUUGAUUAUUAAUUUUUAAGUAAUAUUUUAUUAGUAUUUAAUUAAUUAUUUUAUUGGGGUGAUAGAAAAAUAUUAUUAACUUUUUUUAUUUAUUUAAACAUUGAUAUAUGAUUUAAUGAUCCAUUAUUUAUGAUUAAAAGAUUAAGUUACCUUAGGGAUAACAGCGUAAUUUUUUUUUAGAGUUCUUAUCGAAAGAAAAGAUUGCGACCUCGAUGUUGGAUUAAAAUUAAUAUUAGGUGUAGAAGCUUGAUAAUUAGGUCUGUUCGACCUUUAAAAUUUUACAUGAUCUGAGUUUAAACCGGCGUGAGCCAGGUUGGUUUCUAUCUUUAAUUAAUUAAAAUAUUUUAGUACGAAAGGACCAAGUAUUUACAAUAAUUGUUUAAUUUUGAAUUAUAUUAG